rnacentral:antisense_RNA from 1 species
GCUGUACCCUUGGAUACAAACUUCCCCUGAGAGUGUAGGGCAGGCCUGCUGAGAAAGCUAUGUCUACCUUGGCAAAAACCAACCAGUAUCUUUUUCCCUUGCAUGGGGGAACUUGAGGGAGAUGGGACUGAAGGAACCCAGGUGGGAAGAGCAGGGUGGAAAAUCAACAACCUGCAAAGGGAGAUGCAAAUAAAAUGCGGAUGAUUGUGUUGCUUUGAAUCGGUGUGUUCAUUUUUCAUAGGAGUGGUAGCCAAGCAGAGAUCCUAGGUGGACUACAUGUCUGCAUUUCCCCCUAAUCCUCCUCCCUGUCUCCAGGACCUCAGCUUGAUGCUCAGGGGUGGAUAUGUCUGCAGAACUGCCGGCUGAGAGGAGGUGGCUCGGGAACUCCCGAGUGAUACUCUCGGCCUCACACCUAUGGGGCUGGUGCCAAGGGCACUGCAGGAAUCCCCACAGCUGGGCAAGUGGGAGGGAGGAUGAACAUCCCCAGAUCUGGCCAGGUCCUCUCCUGGCAUCGCCCUCGAUCCUGAG